GCGGCUUGGGUUUGCGCCUUGCAGGCGGCGCGCGGACCUUGGGAAACCGGCUCUGAGCAUCGCUGUGAGGCAGCCAAGGACUGGAGGAAAAGAGGAAGACAGUAACUUGACAGUGGAGAAACCUGGAAGCCAUUGCCUUAACCGAGUCAUGAAGAAUAACAACACCCGUCCUGGAGGCAGAAAAACCAUCUUGUGCCCAUGAGGGAGAACACCAAACAAAUCUGGAUGACUUCCUUGAGUAGCUGCAUUUAUAUUGGACUGUCUACCUCCUGACUUCUUGUCUUGUAAGAAAAAUCAAUCUCAAUUUGGUUAAGCUACUGAGUUGGAUUUUCAUCAAUUUCAGAAAUAGCAAUAGGUACAGAAAGUUUUAGCUAAGAGCCAUUUAGAAAUGUGUGUCAAUAUAAUGCUGUCAAUGGUAGCUAUAUCUGUAAUAACAACACAACUGUUCUUGGUUUUUGUUUUUGUUU
rnacentral:lncRNA from 10 species